UUAAAAUCGUUGUGAAAAUUAAAAACUAAACGUAGAUAGUGAUAACUUAGUCGGCUAAAAGUUGAUUUUAAGCCGCCGCCGACGUUUUUAGUGUUAAACGCCGUUAGCAUUUGUCGACGCCGAGCUCUGGUUGUCAAAUGAAAAAAGAUAUUUUUCUUCGUCUUCUUCAUAUGUGUUUGCGAUACUUCAUUUACGGUUCGUUGUUGCUAGUUUUUCGUUGCAAAUGCGGCGGCUCUAAAGUAAUAUAAAUAAAAUUUCAUGUUUUUUUUCUCCACUCCUAACUAAACGUGUGUGUAAAAAUAAUUUAAGAAAAAAACUAAAACGAGAAAAAAAAUUGUGUUAGAAAAUGAUAAAUAUAUAUAUUUAAUCCAUCUAAUAGUUACUACAAAAUGAAAAGAUACAAAAAUUUGCAUUUAAUGGAGAACGUGUAAAUACAAUUAUUUUUUUGCCUUGAUUUGAUUUUGUGCUAUUUGUUGUUGUGUUGUACGUACAAUUUUACUUCGUUCGCACUUGCUGUUGAUUGUUGCCAAUUAAUAAAAUCUAAAACAACAACAAUAAAUUUGAGUAGUGUAGUGGUGAUUUUUACGCAAAACAAAAAAAAUAUAAGAAAUUAAAGUUUGGCCAGUGAAAAGCAAAAAAAAAAGUAAAAAAAGUUAUAGUAAAGCGAAGGUGUAAGUGCAAAAAAGUAAAAUUUUUUUUAAAAAGAAAGAAGAAAGAAAAAAAGAAAUUUAGAAUAAAAUUAAAGCAAAUUGUUUGGAAUAAUGUUUAUGGUUUUUGGUGGGUGAAAAUCUAAAAGAAAAAAAUUUACAUACAAAAACAACAAUAAAUAAAAUUAAAUUGUUUAUAUAGUAAAAACCAUAAAUAACCGUUAGUUUUAGCUGAGACGUGUGCUGUACAUCAAUGAGUUGUGGGGUUCUUUUAAAAAGUCAUCAUUGGGUUUAGUGAGGGAGGAGGCCAAAGAAUGAGGGACAACAACUAAAUGUGUGCUUUUUUUAAUAAGAAGAAAGUAUGUAUAAAGAUACAAAUAAAAGGAAACAAUGUUACAAAUUGUAAACUUUCUUUUGUUAUUGAGGAUGUUAAUAUUUUAUUAAAAUUUGUAGAUUUCCUAAUCCUUAAAUCCAUUUUAUUUACACUUAGUUUCUAUAUUAGAAAAUACCAAAAUUCCCUUACAAAUCCUAAACAUUUUGUUAACUCCUUCUUUUGCCUUUCUCUUUACUCUUCCCCUUUUAAGAUUUUUGUUAUAAUCUCCCUAAACACUCACCUCAUUUACUUCUCUUUUAUUUAAAGAAUAAAAUUGCACUAUCAUCAUUCUGCAGACUGCUGUGGUAGCAACAG